CCUAUGUUCAGCAGUGGACGUCUAUCGGUUGUUGAUCAUGAUGAAGAUCAUUUAAUAAUGAUCACAACGCGCAAUCACAAGUUUUAAUCGCCACACAUCAGUGAGCCAACAGAUUUCGACAGGAGAGAGGAACGAUUUUUCGUAUUUGAAAGAGAGAAAAAAAAAUAAUAUUGACAGAGGACUGAAAACAAGUA